rnacentral:rRNA from 1 species
GACGAACGCUAGCUACAGGCUUAACACAUGCAAGUCGAGGGACCGGCGCUCGGGUGAGUAACACGUAUCCAACCUUCCCUUUACUCGGGGAUAGCCUUUCGAAUGAAAGAUUAAUACUCGAUGUUAUGGAUGGGGAUGCGUUCCUUUAGGUGGUUGGCGUGGUAACGACGCACCAAUCCUUCGUUGGAUAGGGGUUCUGAGGUGAAGGUCCUCACCAUUGGAACUAGGACAAGGUCCAAACGCCAACGAGAGGCAGCAGUGAGGAAUAUUGGUCAAUGGGCGUUAGCCUGAACCAGCCAGGUAGCGUGAAGGAUGAAGGGUUAUGGGUCGUAAACUUCUUUUAUAUAAAAAUAUGUUUUAUAUGGAUAAGGAUCGGCUAACUCCGUGCCAGCGGCCGCGGUAAUA